rnacentral:rRNA from 1 species
GUGUCAGCAGCCGCGGUAAUACAGAGACUGCAAGCGUUAUUCGGAUUCACUGGGCGUAAAGGGUGCGCAGGCGGCCGAAUGUGUCAGGUGUGAAAGCCCGAGGCUUAACCUCGGAAUUGCAUUUGAAACUAUUCGGCUAGAGUAUUGGAGAGGGUAACGGAAUUCACGGUGUAGCAGUGAAAUGCGUAGAUAUCGUGAGGAACACCAGAGGCGAAGGCGGUUACCUGGACAAUUACUGACGCUCAGGCACGAAAGCAUGGGUAGCAAAAGGGAUUAGAUACCCCUGUAGUCC